ACAGUUUAAAUAUACAAUCUAAGCUGUUAAAUACAGGUUUGCUAUCAACAACAACAGCUGUCAUACUGUGAAUAUUUAAAGGGAUCUGAGUAUCUUGAUACUUAAUCAAAAGCCGAAUGUAAGUGUUUUGCUUUUUUUUUCUGAUACAUUGGUUAAACACCUCAGGAAAAAAUCUCUUGUACCAAUGCAGCUCUACCAGUAUGUAAUAAGAAAGAAAGCUCAUUGUUGUGAUACAACGCUAGUUCAUCCAAAAGACCCAGCUCAACAGAUAGCUAGCUAAUAGGUGAACAGGCUUCUCCAGUAAUAUUCUAUCAGCUUUUAAGUUUAACAAAAAGUUACCCGAAUGUUUUACAUGCUUGAAAUGUCAAUUUUUCAACUAAUGCUGCAAUAAAUAUUUAGUACUCAACCCACUGUGUGAAAGUCAACACAUCACUGUUAGCUAGGUGCUAAAAUAACAGUUUUUACUGUAGAAAUUAGCACUGUCAUAGUGACGGCCCAUAUAGCGAGCAUAUAUCUGUCCCCUGGCACCCAACUGACUGUUUGCCACUGCUGGUCCACCCUCGGACCACCCAGAUUACUGUCCUGCAUACAAGCUCUGACUACUUUUUAAUCUCUACAAACAGAUUUUAAGUGCACAGAGACUUUUAUUUUAGAAAAUAAACAAUGACAAAUAUUACAAACAAAUGAGAGGAAAAAAACUGACUAGGCCUGAUAUAAAAUGAUUUUAUAGAAAAUGUUGUUGCUGACUCUGAACUAGAUUAAAAUUAUUUACUAAAGUAAUUCACAAAGUAUAACUAAAGAAAGGAGGGAAGGAAAAUCAGUAAAUUGGACUGCGAGUGGAAAAUGAGUGAUGAUCAGUGGAAUGUUGUCUAAUAUGCUGCAUAAACACAGGUGGGCUUACCAGAAAACGCUGAGUAAAAUGCCAGUGGACCACAAGCUUUGCCAUCAGCAGGCCAACAGUGGUCCACUAUACUCUUGCUAUCAGGGGGUAAUCAAAACCAAAGUUUGGUUCAUAUGAUAAUUCAUAUACUAAACAUUGUGAUUAUGCCCACUGGUACAUGUUAAUGUUUAAAUGACAACAAAUAAAAAAAAACCCUACAAGAUACAAGCAUACAUUGGUCCACUAGCUGGAUAACGUCGGCUCCCUGCUCACUGUUUGCCACUGCUGGUCCACUCUCGGACCACCUGUCCUGUCUAACUAGUUUUAAUCUCCUCAAACAGAUUUUACAUGUACCAGACUUUAAUUUUAGAAAAUAAACAGACAAAUAUUACAAAAAACUGAGAGAAAAAAAUUUAUGACUAGGUGUAAUAUAAAAUGAUUUUAUAGAAAAUGUUGUUGCUGACACUGAACUAGAUUAAAAUUGUUUACUAAACAAAUUUACAAAGUAUAACUAAAGAAAGAAAUGAAGGAAAUAUAAGUAAAUUGGACUGUGAGUGGAAACUGAGUGAUGAUCAGUGGAAUUUUGUCGAAUAUUCUGCUUAACCACCGGUGGGCCGCCUGGAAAACGCUGAGAAAAACGCCAGGGGUCCACCAGCUUCAGCUGGCCAAUAGUGGCCCACUAUCCUCAGGGGACUGGAGUAUUCCAUGCUUAAUGUAACGCUGGGACGGCUGUUAGGAUGCCUGAUUACUUUCGUAGUUCUCAUGUGGCCUUUAUUUAUUUAUAACAAAAUAUUUUAUAUAUCAGACAGUCGACUGCCAGCUUGGUGUGUUAGGGAUGUUAGCCAUCUUCUAGACCUUCAUCACCCUGCUGAAAAAACUGGCUGACCGGCAUACAGUAUCCAAAACACAACACAUGCUAAUUUUGCUAGUGACCAGCCAUAAUGGUGUAUGCUGGUUUUUCUAACCGGACAGUGGUCAGUUUCUGACCUUACUGCCACUAGCUGGGUAUUUUGGUGACAGACAACCGCUGUGCCUGACACAGUCAUACCACCAUCACAUACACUACCAUGUCAGUGUGACUGAGGUGCUGAGAAUGAUCCACCACACAAACAAUACCUGGUCAGUGGUGGUUCUAUCAUGAUUCUCGGUGGUAGGUGGACCUCAUAGAUUGGCAAUUCAGUGUGGUGAGCCCAAGGCCUUAGCCAAGGCUGGUUCAGGAAAGAGGGCACGAGAGAGGAAGAGCGAGAGAUAAGAGCAAUAGAUUAGGUAAAUACCAACAGAGCAACAGAUUAACCAGUACCCAGGAGUUCAGCUGCUUUUGCUGAGGUUGUGUAAUAUCAAUAAUAGGAAUCAAUAUUGUGUAAUAGGCAUAAACUAUUCCCAGCUGUGCUUUCCUACAGAUAGCACACUAGUUGAACAUACUAAUACUGCAUGAUACAGACAGAGUACCAUAUUAUGCAAAUAUCGUCACAUUAUUGCAGUCAUGAUAUAAGAAAUUAAAAGCACACUGACGUAAUAGCAGUGGAUGCAUUAUUUACACCAAUUUUUUUGCCAUUGUUGAAUUGUUUAAAUCCUUGCUCAUGUGCACAAUGUAGCCUUUUGCUAUAGCCAAUAUUGCGAUUAACCAACAACGUACUGUGCAGCCCUAAUACCUGCUUAUAGCUCAGAUGGUUUAACACACGCAUAACUUUUUAAUAGAAUUUCGAACUUAUGGCUUAUGUGGUUGUUUAUAUAAGCAUUAUAAAUCAGUACAUAUUUGCAUUUAAGAGAUGUACCUAUUAUAGAGAUGAAUUUAGUCCUUGACUACAGACCUAAAACCUAGUGUUACACCUUUUGUCACUUUUCCAACAUUCUUAUGUCUUUGAUCUUCAAAACUGGACAGAUGACAUCAUCCAAAGCCAGACUUUCUUCAUAUAAUUUAUUGUAAACAAUCUAAUAAAUAUGACUUUUGUAUCAGUACACGUUCGCAUUCAUUCUGAUUGUUUUCAGUGAUAAACCCCAGUGUUCCAAAAUAUAUGCUAAAGACUUUUCCUCAAGGAUAAACCAAAAAGGGGGGGAAACUAUCAAGUAAUCACUAUUAGGCAGGUGCCCUACAAUGAGUUAAGGAAGGACCGCUGUAAGCAGUCUCUGAUGCAAGCGGGAGCAAGAACAAAUUAAGCCAAAGGCAGAGAAAAAAGUUACAUAUAAAGACCAGCAAUGCAGCAGCAGCAGGUAGGACUGUGUUCUGAGACAAAACAAAACAAACAGUGUCCUUUUGUUUGUUUGCAGUUUGUGUGCACUGGACUCAAGACAAGCUCUCAUCGCUCCAGAGUGCCCAUCAGUGGCUCCAUGGCUGCCAGGAAAGACACCUCAAACUCGUGGUCGGAAAAGCGGGUGACUGAUUGCCGUGCUCUUCUCCGGAUGUCCAAGCGUGCGCUGGGUGUCAGGCUGAGGAUCCGCUCCAUGGCCUCAGCAUAACUGUCCUCAUCAUCAGCCAGAAAGCCUGUCGGACCACCAUCGUGUGGUACCACAAUGUCCAGCUUGGGCCCACCAGAUUUGUGGGCCAGGAUGACCGUCCCAGCAGCCAUGCACUCAACCACACCUGAGAGAGACAGAGCAACAGAGAAAUGCUAAGUAAGACACAUAACCAGCCCUUGAAGGCUAAUUCGUUAGAUUAAUGAGCUGCACCACGGCUUAAAAAUUACAGACUGUCUGUGGGCUUGUCCUGUGGCUAGUAGGUGAGUACAAGUCCUGGAUCAAAUUUCUCUUAUUACAGAACAAGCAGGGAUGAACUGACAUGGGAUUUGUGGGCCAAUGCUGACAUCUGAUAUCCUUCCAUGUACAUAUCUGACAAUGCCGAUAUAUAAACAUUUAUAAAAUGUAGAAAUUGGGACUAGAUCCACAAAAUAGGACUACAGGGAAAUUUAACACUUAUUUGUAGACGAUUACAGUCAUAUGGAGAAGUGUGAACACCCCCGGUCUGAUUAAAUUGAAGUGAAAAUAAGUUAACACAUCCCAGCACAAUUACAUGACAACAAAGACGACAAAAACCUAGACCUGAACUUUCCUAACUGUGUGACCUUUUACACACGUACCAAAUAAAUGUCAUUUAUAACUAGUAAUCCACUUUAAAAUGUGGAUAUUUUGUGCAGUACAGUUUCUCAUUAGGUUGGAUGAGAUUUUUGGCAUCAUUCUCUAAAGCUUGCCCAACCUAGCGACAGUUGCUAUGAAAGAAUGCAUUUGCACCUGGUGCAUGGAUAGGUCAAUUACGCUUCUUACCAAUGCCAAAAUGUUCGUUCCACAUGGUGUGCAGGCCGAUCGUAGCCUCCACCAAUUCCUUCUUCAGCUCCUCAAAUGGAAUGUUGAGUUUGAACUCCACUCUGUCACCCACGCCCAGCUCUUGGCACAGCCCCCUCAGCAUCAGCACCCUGUCCUCGUCUUCCUGGUUCCGACAUCCUCCAAUCAGCACCAGUUUCACUGACUCCCUCCCUCCAGGCUCUGAUUCUUUCCUGUCUAGAAAUUUCCGGAAGGCCCUGAUCUGUAGCUGGUGGUCCUUCUCUGGCCGGAACUGGGCCACCGACACCACAGAGUGGCACUUCUCGCCUGCAUCCUGCUCCUCUUCCUCCUCCAGAGGGAUGUCGAGGAACGCCUGGACGUCGCAGGGUGGGUACACCACGCUGGUGCGGUUGGGGGCGCGCCAAAGUGCAAGGAUGUGGCCCAGCGUCCAGGUGGAGUUGACCAUGACCACAUCGCUGCAAGAGCCGGCCAGCCCGUAUAGCAGCGCGAAGGCACAGUAGUAAACCACCUUUAUGGCACUCAGCACAGGGUUAUUGGUGAUGUAGUCUGCGUUGUUGAACCUACAGGAGGGAUGAGAGAAACAGUACUGUUUAAAAGUUAAAAAUCAAAACUU